rnacentral:misc_RNA from 1 species
AAAAAAAAAAAAAAUACAAAGACACACAUUUGUACACAAGGACCACCAUCUCAACCAUCAAGAAAUAGUAACAAAAAUGCCCUUAAAUCAUUAAUUGAUUAUGAGAUUUGUCAUAAGCUUCUCAUCACAAGCACUUAGAGUCUGAGGCUGAGAUCAAUGUCAUCUCCUCUUGUUUCAACUCUCUCAUUGUUUAAGCCAAACUUUGUUUCCACCAUACCAAUUUGCUUCCUUGGAAGUAAGAAGCUAUAGAAAGGUUUCUUCUCAAAGCAUCCACCUUCCGCUGGCCUAUGCUGCGAGUCCUCAUUGCUUUCCUGAGAAGGGCAAGAACCAAGUUUGGGUCGUUCUCUUUGAGUCUGAAUUGAUGGAGGAGUUGCUGGCGAGCCAAAUAAGAGGAAAUUUCCAUCUGCUGCUCCGUUAUCUGUACUACUGCAUUUCUUGAUGUUGGGCUCUAAAGAACUUCCUGGCUUCAUUUCUCUAGAGAUUGUCUCACUUGCUUCAAGAUUGAUUAUGCUGUUACCACCACAUGAAAGUGAAGACUCUGGUCUGUUCAUCUGAGGUGAAAAUGUAGGAACUUGACACCGGAAAGAAGGCACCGGAGGGAUCAUCUCCAUGGAGAAUGGCCGUGACCUCUUUUCACCAACCAUCUUAUCUUCCUCUGGCCAUAAAGUAGGACAGUGAUGAUAUGAUAUUUGGUUUGAA